GGUUUCCGUAGGUGAACUGCGGAGGAUCAUUA
rnacentral:rRNA from 1 species